CCUUGCCCGUAUUGGGUAGAACAGGGACAUCUUUUUCUUUGGGCCGAAUGAUUGGAAUUGUUUCCGUAGUCGCUGGAGCCCCAGCGGAAAUGAUCAGAGAGGACGAUAUUAUUCGUAAAUUUAGGCGAAAGGGUCACAUUUCACCCCAAUCUGGAUGUGUGCUUGCCGUAAUCGAUUGGUUGCAGCUAUUAACUCUGGGACUGGGUGGUUUGAGGCGAGGCUACAGCCCCUCCUUCAGUUCAGACACGGCUGAUUUUAGUAUAGUGGGGGUGGGGGGUGGGGGAUGGAUGUCACUAGGGCGAGAUCUAGGCCUGUCAUUAAUCACCCACAAGAACGCCACUUUGGCUGAGUCAAGACCUGUUUCCCUAGCAGGGUCAACAACAAAGAAAAUGCUCUUCCCGAGUACUGUAAUAUGAUCACACUAUAAGUCUAGACCUUGAGAAAUGUUGAACUUUUAAUAAGCAUAUUGCAUUGAAAAUUGGGGCUGAGGAGUUGCUUUUAUUUGGAAAUGUUUUAUUUUUGCCCAACAAAGUAUGCUGGGGGAAAACAACCUAGCCUUGAGAAUAAUGAAGAAAUCAACCCAAGAUUCCAAGGGACUUCAGACUUUUGCUUUUCAUCUUGAAACAUUUCCUGAGAGAGACUGGGGAAUGUCUUUUGGCUGCUUUGUAGGGCAUGUGUAUGCCCAGUUUUUUCUGUACUUUGAAAUCCUUGUGUGCCCCUGGCACAAUCCUAGGAUAGGCUUUUGUGGACUAGAAGUGUAAAUGUUUCCUUUGUGUGUAGCAUGCAAAGAUUUCUGUGUGAGCCUUUAGUAAUAAUAUCACCCUUUAGACAAAGCCUUUCCAUAGCUUGAUUUAAAUGUCUCGUUAUCAGUAGCUUAAAAAACCGAAGUAUAUACCUCUGUAUUUGGUGACUUC
rnacentral:lncRNA from 1 species